UUCACCUCUCAUGACAAAAUAAUGUAGCUACUUUAAAUGGAUAUUUGGAAAAAUACCUAUUUUUAUACCGAAGUAGGAAAGACCUGUAUAUCUUCUUCCGAAGUGAGGCUUUUAUCUAAUGUUAUACAUAGGAUAUUUUUGGCGUCUUUAUCAGAAAAAGAUUUUCUAGAUUCUAAUUUUGAAUUUAUGUUAUUUCCUCCCCAAGGAGAAAAAUGAGAGAAGAAAUUAUUUUCCUCUCUCGGGAGGAACAUUUUGAAGAGUGAAAAAUGAUAUUAUCUGAUGACUGUUGGGACCUUUAAAGAAGCUUUUUUCCAAACCUCAUAUUAUGUAUCUUAUAAUUAUAUAUCUUCGCAUUUUACAAAUUAGAGGUGCGAUUUUAUAUUUUCCAUUUAAAUAAUAUUAAGAGAUCUUUGAGGGAUAAUUAUUUCUUUGCGUCCUUGCUACACAAAUGGCUAUUUCAAUUUAAAAAAAAUGAAUGAUAAACUACUUAAUAAUUAUUGUUUUUGUUGUUUGGCAGUGUACAUUAUUAAGACAACAAGAGUCUUAAUACUUUAUUACUUUUUUUGGGUGUGUUUUGCCUCAAAAUUAUUUUUUAAAAGUUAAAAGACUGUUGCAGGUAGAGUUGACAGCAGCACCAUGGUAUUUUGAAAACAACAAUAAAAUGUUUAACUGCUUUUGUCAACAUCUCUCUAAAUGCUGGAGAGAUUCAGUCAGGUAAAGGCAGGUGGUCGUUGACUGUUAAAAUAGUUGCAGUAAAGAAGAGAACUAGUGAGAAAAUUGUAUUUUUCCUGUAAUCGUGUAGCGAAGCUCGUUGAUCGAUCCCGUGUCACGACAAUAAACCGCAAAUUACACAUGAUGCAUCCUCCGGAGGUGUAAUAAUCUCGCAAUCCCUCGGAUAUUACAACACGUCGUGCGAUAGGUGUUGGCGACGCAGGCCAAAGAAGAGCGUCCAAGGACGAGUUUGGGUCGCAUCAUCGUGCUGGGGAAACCUCUCGGGGUACAAUCCCAUGAGAUGGACGGACGGAGAAUGGAAUUCGAAGUUGGCUCGGGGCGUUUUCGACCGACAUAAUACAAGGACACCCUACGGGAAGCAUAUUUUACAGCACACCCAGUCAGCCGGAGGAUAUCUCGCCCACAGCCCGCAGCGGACACGGUGUUUGUAUAAUGUACAAAUUAUUCUGCCUACCUCUCAGACCGGAUCAUCGUCCAAUCCCACAGACGGAUUUUUAUGGCGUGGGCUUUUUGCACCACCUGGAGGAAAGGGACCGAGGGUUGUUAACGUCAUAAACAUGACGAAAGAUUUUUCUACAUCGCUUACUCCCAAGCGGUGGGAGUGCUGUGUCUAGGCGUCAAAGCAACGAAUAAACUGCUUUGGAGGAUGAUUGACACAACUAACAACACAAUGGCCUUAUGAAUUCAUAAUUUUAAGAUUAAUACUUUGUCCUUGUAAAAAUUUUAAUUGAUAGACCAUUUUGUUUGAAAAAAAUGUUUUUUUUGGGAUCGGUAUUGUAAAUAAAAGUUUCAAAAAGAU